AAGCACGUGCGUCUACGUCAUUUCCUGUUAUUCUCCUCGCUUAGUCCUCCGUCCUCCGUGGGUUUGCUCGGGACCGGCGUUUGGGGCGUGCCCGCUUCCUCUCUGUCAGAAUUUUACACCUGAAGAGGGGAUGAGCUGUGUAAAGUCUCCAGUAAAUGUCCUGAGAAAUCGCAUAAAGGCAAGGUUAUCAAGCACAUACACUCAGGGCCCACCUCACCACCGACUCCAGCAGUGAGAUGAGCUUGUUUAAGUUUGCCAUGAGACCCAGGGAGGUGAAGCCGCUGGAUGAGCUGGUGAGUGACAGGUUUGGAUCUCAAAACCCUCCUCUUCCUAAAGCAUGAUGCCUUCAGCAAAGGAGAGCCGGAAGGAGCAAAAUGACCAUGGGAGAGGAGUACCAGCUUUGCUAGAAGGAGUAAGAGCUGAAGAAGAGUUGAAGGAGUAGAGGCCCCAAGUGGGAGCACUUGAACAGGGCAGGCUUGUGAGGCCUAUGGUGAGAGCCUGUGGCUGGAUCUGCUCCUGAGAUUUGGGGGCGUGGCCACCGGGACUCCAGAGAUGUGGGCCCUUGGGCAAAUCAUGGCACUCCCUGAGUCUCAGUCUCCCCAUUUGCAGGAUGGAAAUAACUACCCCCUCUGCCAACUAGAAGAUUGGUGCUGUGGUGCCUCUGAUGCUGCCUUGGGAUCUUCGAAGGGCAGGGCAAGCCUUUCAGCCAGGUUUACUUACUCCAGUUUGAAAAACUUACCAGCCUAAUUUGGUGUGGGAGCAGAGGUUCCCAGCCCUGGUGGCACAUCACAGUCACCUGGGAGUAUUAUAAAAUGUCAGUGUCAGGGCCCCUCCCUGAAGACCCACUGAAUCAGAAUUUCUAGGGGCUAGGGCCAAGGGAUCAGCAUUUCACAAAGCUCCCCCGAUGAUUCUGAGGUGCGGCCCCUGAUGCAGAGUCUGAGAGAAGAAUCAUCUGGGAUUCUUGACGAAAAUACAGGUUACCACACUCUCCCCCGGACAUUCUGGGACUUGUAUGUUUAACAAGUGCCACGGGUGAUUCUUAGGAAAUGGCAAGGUUGGGAAACACAGAGGGAGAGGAAAGGUCCCUGGAUUGGAGUCAGCAAAGACAAUGCUCCUGCUGCGAGACCUCAAAGGUCACUUAGCCUCUCAGAUUCAUUUCUUCAUCUGUAAAAUGGGGAGGACGGUAAUUGCAUGGGGCAGAGAUGGAUAAAUGCCCCAGAAGUCUGCAUAGCUAGUCUAUAGGACGGUUCUUGUUGGAAACUGGCUGCCACAGGUCAGAAACUACAUUUCCCAGCUCUCCUUUGCAUUUUGGUGAGGUGGCCACAGGACUGAGUUCUGACCAGUGGAACAAGGACAUAACUAAGGAGGGCUGCUACCCAUUAAAACCUCCCACAAGGUCCUCUGCUCUCUUCACUGUGUGCCCGUUGGAUCGCAAUGCCUGGGUGAUCUUGGAAGCCACAUGGGAAGGUUGACAGAGAACUCCCUGCCCUUGCCCCCACCUACUGCUAAUUGGACUUUAUGUGAGUGAAAAAUAAACUGUGUAAAGCCACUGUGGUUUCUCUCUUACAGUAGCUAGUGCUAUGUUAACUAACAUACCGCCCCUAGGAUUGUGGCAAAAAUUAUCUCAUGCAGAGGCUGCAAAGUGACAAUGUGAGGGCUUAGAUCCAACCCACAAGUAUGUUUUGUUAUUUCUGUGCAAGCCAGUUUUUUUUUUCUUAACACAUCAUAAAAUGAGAGAUUUCACGUGAACAUCUGGAUCUCCAGGUUCUUGAAAACCUGGAAUAGCUGGCAGCCAAGCUUGCAGUCCACUCUGGGAGUGACUGACCGGGACAAGGAGCAGCCGGCUGUACAUUAGGUGGCACACAUGCUCUCCUGAUCCACCAUGCUCCCCACCACACCCUUAUGGCAUUUCUGGGGCCCCUGUAGCUUCCUGAGCCCACAGGCCCUCAGGUGGUGGAUGUAGACAUUAGAUGUGUUCACUCUUAGGAUUUUUCACGGCAAGUUUCUUCGGGCAACUUCUAACUCCCAGGAGAACCAUUCAUCCUGCCCCAAACUUGGAAACAAAAUCUCCCGAGUGAUCCUUCCAGGCUGAAGGAUGUCCUCCACCCCCACCGCAGCCCACCCAUGGCCGUGGCCCGUUCGGCCUCUGCUAUCUGUGG